GCUUGCUCCUUGAUUCAGCGGCGGACGGGUGAGUAAUGCCUAGGAAUCUGCCUGGUAGUGGGGGACAACGUUUCGAAAGGAACGCUAAUACCGCAUACGUCCUACGGGAGAAAGCAGGGGACCUUCGGGCCUUGCGCUAUCAGAUGAGCCUAGGUCGGAUUAGCUAGUUGGUGGGGUAAUGGCUCACCAAGGCGACGAUCCGUAACUGGUCUGAGAGGAUGAUCAGUCACACUGGAACUGAGACACGGUCCAGACUCCUACGGGAGGCAGCAGUGGGGAAUAUUGGACAAUGGGCGAAAGCCUGAUCCAGCCAUGCCGCGUGUGUGAAGAAGGUCUUCGGAUUGUAAAGCACUUUAAGUUGGGAGGAAGGGCAGUAAGCUAAUACCUUGCUGUUUUGACGUUACCGACAGAAUAAGCACCGGCUAACUCUGUGCCAGCAGCCGCGGUAAUACAGAGGGUGCAAGCGUUAAUCGGAAUUACUGGGCGUAAAGCGCGCGUAGGU
rnacentral:rRNA from 1 species